GACGAACGCUGGCGGCGUGCCUAAUACAUGCAAGUCGAGCGAGCGGAACCAACAGAUUUACUUCGGUAAUGACGUUGGGAAAGCGAGCGGCGGAUGGGUGAGUAACACGUGGGGAACCUGCCCCUAAGUCUGGGAUACCAUUUGGAAACGGGUGCUAAUACCGGAUAAUAAAGCAGAUCGCAUGAUCAGCUUUUGAAAGGCGGCGUAAGCUGUCGCUAAGGGAUGGCCCCGCGGUGCAUUAGCUAGUUGGUAAGGUAACGGCUUACCAAGGCGACGAUGCAUAGCCGAGUUGAGAGACUGAUCGGCCACAUUGGGACUGAGACACGGCCCAAACUCCUACGGGAGGCAGCAGUAGGGAAUCUUCCACAAUGGACGCAAGUCUGAUGGAGCAACGCCGCGUGAGUGAAGAAGGUUUUCGGAUCGUAAAGCUCUGUUGUUGGUGAAGAAGGAUAGAGGUAGUAACUGGCCUUUAUUUGACGGUAAUCAACCAGAAAGUCACGGCUAACUAC
rnacentral:rRNA from 1 species